UUGUCCUUGAUCUUGUUCAUGAGCUAGUAUUAACCAUAUCUGUGCAUUUGGUGUCCUAUGCUAAUUGUAAGCUUAUGUUGGUUUACAAAAAGUAUCAUCCUACAGUUUCAUUUGCAAGUUGUUGUUUUUGGUAAUGAUGCUUAAUGAUCCCAAAGAUCUUUUGUUGAUGCCCACACUUUCAGCACUGAAUCUGGAUGCACAAGUUCCAGUUUAUCCACUACGAUUAUUGUCUAGGAACUGCAUGAUGAAAUGACAUGAUUUAUUUAACAGCAUUGAGAGUAUUUUUAGCAACUAUGAGCAUGUUAUGAAGAACUUGGUCAUUUGUUUCUUUUACUCCAUAUCAUGCUUUUCCCCAGUAAUUAUUUUGUGAUGUAAGCAGGUCAUGUGUUUGCAUCCAUUACUGCCACCUAAAGACUAGGAAAGUUUUUAUACAACGAAACAUGAGUAUCAAUAUUAUGACCUCAUCCACGGGAGUGGAAAACAAGAAUUAGUUGUGUCCAUUAUAUAAAAACUUUCCUAGUCUUUAGGUGGCAGUACUCACAUGAUCCUGUAAAUUAUAUAUUAAAAUUUUUAGAUUAGUACCCACAUGAUCCUUUGAAACAUGAGUAUCAAUAUUAUGACCUCAUCCACGGGAGUGGAAAACAAGAAUUAGUUGUGUCCAAAGGAUCAUGUGGGUACUAAUCUAAAAAUUUUAAUAUAUAAUUUACAGGGUUCUCUAAGAAAUGGUUUGAG
rnacentral:lncRNA from 1 species